rnacentral:ncRNA from 1 species
AAAACGGUUAAAAAGAGCCGUUUGGUGUUCUUUUUUGCUCUUUAAAAAUUGAAAAGUAACUACUUUUCAGUCUUUUCUCUUUUGUCAUCCUCGCGAAUGCGAGGAUCUGAUUCCCGUUUUCGCGGGAAUGACAUGUGGAGUUUGAAUUCUGGAAAGUGGUACCCAAAAUUAGGUAGUUAGGAUAUUGGGCGAUUGGGUUGCUGGGUUUUUCCUAGUAGCCUGAGGACCUAAAAACCUAAGUGCCUAUUGAAAUCCUUAGAGUAUUAGAUCGAACUUUAAAUUUUUAUUUGAGAGUUUGAUCCUGGCUCAGGAUGAACGCUGGCGGCGUGCCUUAGGCAUGCAAGUCGAACGCUUGUGCGAGGCUUUGGGCCUCGCAGGAAAGUAGUAGAUAGAGAAUAGAGUUAAGAGUUAAGGAGAAUAAUUUAUUAUUUUUCUUUUCUCUAUCCUCUAAACUCUAUACUCUAUAAAACUGCGAAGCUGAAAGCUUCGCUUGGAGGCUCGAGACGUAAGCCCGGGUAAACGGCAGCAGUAACUAUAACUGUUCUAAGGUAGCGAAAUUCCUUGUCGGGUAAGUUCCGACCCGCACGAAAGGCUGAACGACUUGGCGACUGUCUUAAAGAGAGACUCGGCGAAAUUGCAGUGGCUGUGAAGAUGCGGCCAACUUACACCAGGACAAAAAGACCCCGUGGAGCUUUACUGCAGCUUGGCAUUGAUUUGGAUUUUGAGCUAGUGUAGCGUAGGAGGGAGUCAGGUACCAUAUGGUACCUGACAACAAUGAAACACCUCCCGGUUUGAUGUUCAAAUCUUACUGUAUGUCCUAAUAAAUAACGGGAUGCAGAACAGUGUCUGGUGGGCAGUUUGACUGGGGCGGUCGCCUCCUAAAAGGUAACGGAGGCGUACAAAGGUCGACUCAAGUCCUACAGAAACGGACUGUUAGCGUGCAAUGGCAUAAGUCGGCUUGACUGUGAGUGGUACAUCACGAGCAGGUGCGAAAGCAGGUCAUAGUGAUCCCACGAUCCGGCGUGGAACGGACGUGGCUUAACGGAUAAAAGCUACCCCGGGGAUAACAGGCUUAUCUUCCCCAAGAGUCCAUAU